CGACAGAAAGUUCUCCAAAUGCUGGCAGAACAAAAGAUGGAACUGACUUAAAGGAAUUUAUUAGGGAGCAAAUCAAAAAAGGGGAUGAGAGUUUUAAUGAAAUACCUAAAGGACACAGGUAUAGGAUACAGACUAUAGGAAAUAACAGUUCAUUUCUUUUUUCUUGUCUUUUUCUUCUCUUUCUUUUUUAUUUUCUAGCUCUGACCGUCUCAUGUUCCACACUCCAAUCCAGUAGGUGGCGGUAAAUGCACCUAAAAGCUGGUUGCCAACCGCCAACAAAAGCCAGUAGAAGAAGAAAGAGGAGGAGGAGAGUCAGACAGGUGUGCGCGUGGUGGACCCUCAGGAGAAUUAAUUAUUAUCAUAUAAUAAUAAUUAUUAUUAUUAUUAUUAUUAAAACUAGUUAAUUAAGAAAAUGAAUUAUCACCAUCAUCAGAUCAUGGCCGCACUGAUCUUCCCGGUCAUCGCACUGACACUUGUACCUGAAGCUGUCGGACUGCUGAAGGGACCGGUGACACGCGGACCAGAACCAACCCAGACUGCUGGUGUCAGGGAGGUCUCAGCUACAGUUGAGGGACAGAACAUCGCUCUACAGUGUCCAGCUUCUGAAAUAAAUGAAGAUGCUACUAUAGUUUGCACCCGAGGUAACCAGACGGUCUUCUUGUACCGGGAUGGACGCCCUGAUCCAGACGGCCAGCAUCCAUCUUAUGUGGGCCGAGUGAAGUAUGAGCUGAAGAAUGACAGUCUGUCACUGAAUCUGAUGAAUGUGAGCUUCAGUGACAGUGAGACAUUCAAGUGUAUCACUAAAGAGCUUAAUGGUACUGAAGUUAUCACGUCUGACAUCUGCAGCGUCAACCUGUCAGUUAAAGACUCAGGUCCUAAAGCUGGAGGGAACAAGGAGGGAGGACGCAAGGAGGGAGGACGCAAGGAGGGAGGACGCAAGGAGGGAGGAUGCAAGGAGGGAGGACGCAAGGAGGGAGGACGCAAGGAGGGAGGACGCGAGGAGGGAGGAAGUGAGGAGGGAGGGAACCCGCUUAUUCCUUCUUGGGUGAUAUGUCUGAUAGUAGUUGGUCUUGUGGUGAUUUGUGGUGUCAUCGGCUUCAUGGUUUAUAAAAGACUAAUGAAGAAGAAAUCCGAGCAGCCUGCUGCUGAUGAAGAAGAGCACUUAACAUCCCCAGAAUCUGACAAGGAAUCUGUCGAGGAUCAGUGUGAAUCUAAAGUCUGAGACUCUCCACCAGGAUGAUCUGGUUCAUCAGUGCACACUAAUAUUGUUUACCUUCAUGAUUUGCUGCCUUGGCGUGGUGGAGGAGUUUGAGGACCUUUGACCUGGGAGCUGUAAACAGUGAUGUAGUCUGUAGUCCUGAAACCAGUUAGCAUGUUAGCAUGUUCGUACUCCCUGGCCGUUAACUCAAAGUCUGCUUUUUAUUAUUAGAGAUUUCAUUUUUUGCCUCAAACUACUUCCAGAUCAUCUGUGAAGAUUGUUUUGAUGAACAGAACCUGGAAGCACCAGAACCUUGUGUUUGACACAGAUUAUUUCUUUAAUUACCAUAAUGAAGUUCACUAAUCCCCCAGAGGAACCAGAGAGAUGCUAACUUCAGUUAGCUACAGACAGACGUCACCACUACAGCUCUCUAUUAUCUGGAGCACUCAGCUCCUGAAGUGUCUCCCAGAACAACCUCCCAGGUCAUCAGGUCAGACUAAAGCAACUCAGCCACCUGUAGCACUGAUGUGCCAGAACUCAUGCUGGAGAGUCACCAGUCUUUAUUUUAUGCUUCAGCAGCUUUUGUUAAAACAACACAGAGUUUAUCAGCACUUUUUAUUUUCUAUCGCUGCAUCUUAACUUCUAACAAAGGAGGAGAAGCAGCUGCAGCCUCCACUCUGAUACUUCUGAUUAUUAUGAUUAAUCAGAAGGUCAAAUCAAAGCUAUUGUAUAUAUUUUAUCAUUUUACUGUGAGGAAUUACAGUUGUCCAUUCAGUGAUCAAUGUGCUGUACAGAUCAGGAGGAGGAGUGUAAGAGGAAGGAAAACAAGAUGACAUUAACUGUAUCAAAUCACUUGUCUAGGAAAGGCACGAUCAGUUCAAACCUCAGGGGGUCACUGUUGUCCAUAGUUUCCAUCUUGAGGCCUGUGAAAGAUUAUCAGCACUUUACUUUUAACAUUGAAGGACAGGAGGAGCUGUAGCUCACUGAUGCUUCUGAUCGCCUCAGUGCCGUGUGAACAUACAAGAAGACAAGCUGAUCAUGGAAGGUCUAUGAAGUUUUAUCAUUAUGACUGGUUAGAAAGUCGAAUCAAAACUAUUCAGUAUUCUAUAAUUGUCACUGGGUUUACACAGUAAAUAUGUGAGUUUACAGACAGUGUAAUCCUGCAGCACAGUCUCAGGUGAAGAUGUGUGACAGACCUGCUGGUUCAUAGUUUCCAUCUCGACCUGAGAGCGACUCGAAGCGCAGCGUCUUCACACAGUUUGGUGUGACGGCAGGUUGAAUCCUGAGGAAAUGUGAAAGAUGUAAGCACGGCAGCAUCUUUAUUCUGUAUCAGCUGGACGUGUUUCAGUUUGUUGAGACGUUUCACCUCUCAGCCCAGAGGCUGCUUCACUUCUAACUACCUGAAGGAGCUGCAGGGUUUAAUAUGUGUGAGAGUGACACCUGUGAGCUCUGAAACUCAAAUGAUGAUGUAAUGACUUUUAUAUACUAAAGUAUAAAGUCAUAUUAUUAUUCUGCAGAAAAUGUUGUGGUCAUUAUUCAACUCCAGCUCUCACCAGGAGCAACUUGACUCCAGCGCUGAUGAACUCGACCACGAGGCUGUAAUUCUAGUUCAAAAACAUUAUUUUAAUUGAGAUGAGAGAGAGAGAAGUGAAGCAUGGCAGGAAGUUACUGCAAAUAAGGUGCAGCGUUUCUGUGAUUCAUGAAGGGAACACGUUUACGUUCAGAACGUCUGAAUCAACCCUGUAAAACAUUAAAGUAGAUCGCAAAGCACAAAGAGAGCACAGAGUUAUUUAACAGGAGGUCAAAGUUCUUUGUUUGAUGUGGCGGCUGUGUCUCAGCUGUUAAUCAGAGGGUUGCUGGUUCGAAUCCCCGGCUCCAAGACACUGAACCCAGAAUUGCUCCUGGUGUGCAGUUGGUACCUUCAACAUCAGUGUAUGAAUGUGUGUGUGAAUGUGAGAAGUGCUGCUCAUGAAUGUUUCUAACAGCUUGUAAUGAUAUUUAUGUAAAAUAAUAUGCACGUAUUAUAAGUUGUUGGGACCAUGAUUUAUUGUGUAUUUAUCAUUAUUUAUUAAUUAUAGAAUAUUUAAUAUGUUUUAUUUAUUAUUCAUAAUGAACAAACAAGAAGUUUUACACAUUGAGUUCAGUUGAACUUGUUUUCAGUAUGAUUCAUGAAGGCAGAGAGGAAGGAUGUAUUUGUGCUGAUUUCUCCUGUGUGAGGAAUGUUUUUUUGUCAGAGAUUUAGGAAAUGUGUCAAAAUAAAUGUAAUACAUUUCCUAUGUAUUUUGUUUUUUGUGUGAAUUUUUUGUGUCAUGUCUGUUGAACUGCUGUUACAGCUUAAUAUCACUGAUGCAUAAUCAGGUUGAUCUUACCUUCAGUCCGUGCAGACUGGUCAUGUAUUCAUAUUAACAACAUGUCUUUGUUUCUGUCAGUCUGAAGGUUCUGGUAUUUUCAUAAUAAUAAAUAAUAAAUUGUACUUGAACUGUUGAUCCAGGU
ensembl:lncRNA